AGUGAACGCUGGCGGUAGGCCUAACACAUGCAAGUCGAACGGCAGCACAGUAAGAGCUUGCUCUUACGGGUGGCGAGUGGCGGACGGGUGAGGAAUACAUCGGAAUCUACUUUUUCGUGGGGGAUAACGUAGGGAAACUUACGCUAAUACCGCAUACGACCUACGGGUUAAAGCAGGGGAUCAUCGGACCUUGCGCGAUUCAAUGAGCCGAUGUCGGAUUAGCUAGUUGGCGGGGUAAAGGCCCACCAAGGCGACGAUCCGUAGCUGGUCUGAGAGGAUGAUCAGCCACACUGGAACUGAGACACGGUCCAGACUCCUACGGGAGGCAGCAGUGGGGAAUAUUCGACAAUGGGCGCAAGCCUGAUCCAGCCAUACCGCUUGGGUGAAGAAGGCCUUCGGAUUGUAAAGCCCUUUUGUUGGGAAAGAAAAGCAGCAGGUUAAUACCCCGCUGUUCUGACGGUACCCAAAGAAUAAGCCCCGGCUAACUUCGUG
rnacentral:rRNA from 1 species